UGUUUUUAAAGCAGGACUUAUUUUUAGUUUACAAGACUAAUAUUUUAUUUAAAUUAUAAAAAC
rnacentral:tRNA from 1 species